CCGCAGGGCUCGCUGCUUGCCAAAGGGUCUGGAAUAGGCUCCCCACCCCAGUUGCCUUGCCCAGAUGCCAAAGGCAGGCAGCGAGACCCUUGCAGCUUUACAAAAGCAGAGCUUUGUGAGAAUGUUGCCCCUUGUUACACAGGUAAAGUAAAAAAAAUGCCAGCAUCCAGCCGCAUCUGGCCUUACCUUUCCCAGCAGAGUCACCCACAGGCGUGCAUUUGAGGUUUAACUUCUCAAAGUUGCCUCCUUGAGAAAACCCUUUGAGCUCAGCCUGUGCCGAUAAAAAAGAAAGAAAAAGAGUGACAUGGAUGAUUUUCCUUCUGGCAGCUUUUUAACACACAUUUAGGGAUGGAAAGAGGUGGGUGGAUUGCAAUCUGAAUUAGUGAUUUGGGGGUAGAAAAUUAAUGAUCCUGGCUGUAAUAGAAAAGGGAGCUGGAAAUAGGCAAGUUCAGCCCCUUUUUAUUCCCAACCAAGGUCUUUUUGAAAAGCUUCUAACAGAAAUUAAACCCAGUCUUUGGAGUUUCUUAACUAUGGCUUGAAAUAGUAAGACAUUUCCAUCCAUCUGUGGAACACGGCUGCUUUUUACAAUAAAAUUAAAAUACAAUAAUGUGUAAUUAGUCUGUACCAAGUCAAGUUGAGCUAACUUUCCUUAAUGGAAAAAGCAAGCAUGAUAAUCAGUGGAAUAAUUUCAGUGAAUUUUAAUGAAAUUACUUGAUUAUCUGCAUUUUGAAACUACGAGUGAGUACCAGUGAUGCUGGUUGCCAUGGCAAUCGCAGCAUAAAGCCGGGCCUGUUUAACUUCUCUCCCAGCUUUGCCGUCCCUUUUGUGAAAUGUGGGAAGAAGCCUCGCUUCAAGGAGGUAUAUUUGUCAAACUUUCUCCUUCUCCCAAAAGGGGUCCCUGAUCAGCAGGAAGUUUCCACUGAAUGCUUGAACCCUGCAGCACCGUUUAGAAAAAGUCAGCUUGGACGUAACGGUGGCAAAUUCCAGGGUUGCUUAACCCAGGCAUUGUGAGGACAGGGAAAGGACACAGAGGUGUGUGCCUGUGUUUCCAUUUUCAGUUAACACACUCCGAAACUUGGUGUUCUUUGUGGGUGAAGCGAUAAAGAGGAUCUAACAACAAACUGGGCAAAUCUGGAUUUUGCUGGGAUGCAAACUUCAGGUUACUGGGGAGAGAAGAAAGUUGUCCCUGCAUCCCUAAAGGAGGGUGGGAAAAACCAGGAAUGAAGCGGAUUUUGUUUCCCUGCCUUCAUAGGCCAAUUCAUGUCAUUCGCACUGGCUUUAGCAUACAACAGCCAUUAUUGUUGCACAAUUGUAUAGUUCUGGGGUUCUGUUGAGGUGACUAGAGCUACGCUGGGUGACGUAGGGAUUGUGAUGUGAUUCUGGAGAAUUUUCUGUCUUGUAGAGCACCUGCCAGCAGCUCUUCCUGGUUUGAAAGGGAAGACUUAAGCGACGCUGAAAACACGUGGAUAACAUUACUCAGGGCCGUGGAUCCGCAGCUGAAUCUCUCAAACUUAGAAAAAGUGGUCAGCCUUCCCAAAUUUCACACAAAGAACUCUCAAACUGCAAAUCCUCCACCAGAACCAGAAACUUUUAAGGCUGGGACAAAGCAAUUCCAAUGGGCUCCAUUUCCACUUUACUGCAGAGAAGGUACCGAAAGAAAUGAUUCCAGAAAUCAUCAGAACUCUGAAAAUGAAACCGUCUGUUUAAUGGAUAGAGAAAACAGUGAAGAUGAGAGAUUCGGAGUCAAUUCCCCUGCUUCUAAGCAAGUUCCUCUUAGAACCACGGAGGAAUCGAGAAGCAGAGACGGCCCAAAACGGUCCACGGAGCUGGAAGAGAGAGAGAAGUGUGUUGCCCGGCAAAGUUCGCCAGGACUUUCUUCCUCAACCAUGCAGAGCUACUCGGCACCUUGGAAAGGGGCUACUAUACAGAGUGAAGCGGAAAGCAGGAGAGAGAAUGAAAUUUCAGAAAACAGCGUGUUGAUACAACCCAAGGCACUAGGUAAAGAAGACGGAUCAAGAUUACCUGCACAAGAAUCGCUUUCUGCUCAGGAAAAGACAGAGGAUCACGUUCUGACUCUUGACCGGUGUCCUAUGUGUCAGAUACGCUUUACACGAACAAUGUCAACGCUGGACCUUGAUAAUCAUCUUGCUAAAUGCUUGUCUGAAAGCACAGAAGAUGUGAUUUGGUAACUAAGGAGGAUCUGUGUUACAGGAGGAGAGGCAACACGACCAGCAACAAAGCAAUCUGCUUUAGGGAGUAGCAAGAGAGUUUAAAAAAGAGGAGAGUCAAGUCCCAGUUAAUAUUUUGCUGUGCUUUUAAGUUCUAGUGCGUAGAGGUCCAUCCUGCAGGUACCUGUAGAAGCAUGGUGUCUGACUGCAAAAGCAGUACUGAAGAAGCGGUUUCUAAAGGAAUAGAUACGCGGAUGGACUAUUCACUGAACAGAAUUUAAAAGUUCAGCAAGGAAAUGUUUUUUUUUGGGGGGGGUCCCUAAUGACUCACUUACUGAAAAUUAAAAGCCACUGAGAUGAUUUGUUUGUCCCUCAGGAGCAGCCUUCAAUAAAAAACGGGAGCUGCAAGUUUUCCUCUGUUUUAAAUAAACGCAUUUCUUCAGUA